rnacentral:rRNA from 1 species
ACACAUAAUGAUGACGAGUAGGGCGAGGCACGUGAAACCUUGUCUGAAUAUGGGGGGACCAUCCUCCAAGGCUAAAUACUCCUGACUGACCGAUAGUGAACCAGUACCGUGAGGGAAAGGCGAAAAGAACCCCUGUGAGGGGAGUGAAAUAGAUCCUGAAACCGCAUGCAUACAAGCAGUGGGAGCACCUUCGUGGUGUGACUGCGUACCUUUUGUAUAAUGGGUCAGCGACUUAUAUUCAGUAGCGAGGUUAACCGUAUAGGGGAGCCGUAGAGAAAUCGAGUCUUAAUAGGGCGUUUAGUUGCUGGGUAUAGACCCGAAACCAGGCGAUCUAUCCAUGAGCAGGUUGAAGGUUGGGUAACACUAACUGGAGGACCGAACCCACUGUCGUUGAAAAGCCAGGGGAUGACUUGUGGAUAGGGGUGAAAGGCUAAUCAAGCCUGGUGAUAGCUGGUUCUCCCCGAAAGCUAUUUAGGUAGCGCCUCGGACGAAUACCAUAGGGGGUAGAGCACUGUUUCGGCUAGGGGGUCAUCCCGACUUACCAAACCGAUGCAAACUCCGAAUACCUAUGAGUACUAUCCGGGAGACAGACUGCGGGUGCUAACGUCCGUAGUCAAGAGGAAAACAAUCCAGACCGCCAGCUAAGGCCCCAAAAUCAUAGUUAAGUGGGAAACGAUGUGGGAAGGCAUAGACAGCUAGGAGGUUGGCUUAGAAGCAGCCACCCUUUAAAGAAAGCGUAAUAGCUCACUAGUCGAGUCGGCCUGCGCGGAAGAUGUAACGGGGCUAAAACUAUGUGCCGAAGCUGCGGAUGUAUACUUUGUAUACGUGGUAGGGGAGCGUUCUGUAAGCCGAUGAAGGUGUGUUGAGAAGCAUGCUGGAGGUAUCAGAAGUGCGAAUGCUGACGUGAGUAACGACAAAACGGGUGAAAAACCCGUUCGCCGAAAGACCAAGGGUUCCAGUCCAACGUUAAUCGGGGCUGGGUGAGUCGACCCCUAAGGCGAGGCCGAAAGGCGUAGUCGAUGGGAAAAUGGUUAAUAUUCCAUUACUUCUGUGUAAUGCGAUGAGAGGACGGAGAAGGCUAAAUCAGCCUGGCGUUGGUUGUCCAGGUGAAAGGAUGUAGGCAUGUAUCUUAGGCAAAUCCGGGGUACUCUAUGCUGAGAUCUGAUAGCAAGCUGUACUUGUACAGCGAAGUGGUUGAUGCCAUGCUUCCAGGAAAAGUCUCUAAGCUUCAGUUACACAGGAAUCGUACCCGAAACCGACACAGGUGGUCAGGUCGAGUAGACCAAGGCGCUUGAGAGAACUCUGCUGAAGGAACUAGGCAAAAUGGUACCGUAACUUCGGGAGAAGGUACGCUGUUGUUGGUGAUGGAACUCGCUUCCUGAGCUGACGACAGCCGCAGAAACCAGGCCGCUGCAACUGUUUAUUAAAAACAUAGCACUCUGCAAACACGAAAGUGGACGUAUAGGGUGUGAUGCCUGCCCGGUGCUGGAAGGUUAAUUGAUGGGGUUAGCGUAAGCGAAGCUCUUGAUCGAAGCCCCAGUAAACGGCGGCCGUAACUAUAACGGUCCUAAGGUAGCGAAAUUCCUUGUCGGGUAAGUUCCGACCUGCACGAAUGGCAUAAUGAUGGCGGCGCUGUCUCCAGCAGAGGCUCAGUGAAAUCGAAAUCGCUGUGAAGAUGCAGUGUACCCGCGGCUAGACGGAAAGACCCCGUGAACCUUUACUGCAGCUUGACACUGAACUUUGACCUUACUUGUGUAGGAUAGGUGGGAGGCUUUGAAGCUGGAACGCUAGUUCCAGUGGAGCCGUCCUUGAAAUACCACCCUGGUAAUGUUGAGGUUCUAACUCUGUCCCGUGAUCCGGGACGAGGACCGUGUCUGGUGGGUAGUUUGACUGGGGCGGUCUCCUCCUAAAGAGUAACGGAGGAGUACGAAGGUGCGCUCAGCGUGGUCGGAAAUCACGCGUAGAGUAUAAAGGCAAAAGCGCGCUUAACUGCGAGACCCACAAGUCGAGCAGGUACGAAAGUAGGUCUUAGUGAUCCGGUGGUUCUGUAUGGAAGGGCCAUCGCUCAACGGAUAAAAGGUACUCUGGGGAUAACAGGCUGAUACCGCCCAAGAGUUCAUAUCGACGGCGGUGUUUGGCACCUCGAUGUCGGCUCAUCUCAUCCUGGGGCUGAAGCAGGUCCCAAGGGUAUGGCUGUUCGCCAUUUAAAGAGGUACGCGAGCUGGGUUUAGAACGUCGUGAGACAGUUCGGUCCCUAUCUACCGUGGGCGCUGGAAAUUUGAGAGGAUCUGCUCCUAGUACGAGAGGACCAGAGUGGACGAACCUCUGGUGUACCGGUUGUGACGCCAGUCGCAUCGCCGGGUAGCUAUGUUCGGAAGGGAUAACCGCUGAAAGCAUCUAAGCGGGAAGCCUACCUCAAGAUAAGAUUUCCCUAGGACUUUAUGUCCUCUAAAGAGCCGUUCGAGACUAGGACGUUGAUAGGUUGGAUGUGGAAGCAUAGUGAUAUGUGAAGCUGACCAAUACUAAUUGCUCGUGAGGCUUGACUAU